UUUUUUUCCAGCCCAAACCAAGCUAUAAGUAGUCUGCUUUAAUCGCAUGAUUACACAGUAUUUCUGGACAUCUGUGUGGCUGAAUCUUUUACAAUUUGUUCAAUUAAUAAUGGAGAACCCAAAGUAGAAAGAUGCAGGUGAAGCUUUACUAUGGAACAGAGCGGUCAAGCGAACAUGGAGCCCGACCACAUGUCAACCAGCAGGUUUCGGUGAGAAAAUUGUGGUAAUAAGUCAGCUCUUACCGUAGACAUGAGCGGAGCUUGCGUCCUGCUGCAGCUGUGUGGCUUCCCUCAGAGAAACUGGCUGUCACCACACCGAUGGCCACACCCCUCCGACUUUCAGGAAAGGUCAUUCAAAAUGACUGGUUCGAGACGCUGGAACUUGGGGCUGCCUCUGCAAGCAGCAGUGUGUCUGCAAGCAACUGCUGCAUCUGCACCAAUCCCGC